CGUUUGCCCUCUCCGUCCAGUGGCUCCACGCAUAUCUGGCUGUAGUAGUCUGGGCCAAAAUCUAUGUUAUCCUUGACAUGGUCACUGGUGGAGAGGGAAGAUGACAACUGAGAAGAUUCUGGGAACAACACAAAAUAUUCACACACUUCCACCCCUUGGCAUCCCUAAUCUUUUCCAUGAGUCAGUCAGUAUUGAGCUCAUGUUGUUCACAGUGGAGCACUUGAUCCGCAGUCCACACCAAAGCUUCCCAGCAGCAGAGUUCCCAUGAACGACCUCUCUGGGAGAAAUGGCUGAGUUGGCAAGCAGAAGUCGACCACUAGAGAAGGCCGUUUACGCUCUGACAAAUCACAUGACUCGUGGUGUAAAGGGAGUGUACCGACAUGAAUUAAAACAAAGCAUCUGCUUCUA